UUGUUUGACCUGGUGAUGCUGGUUGCAGCUUUCUCUCUGAAACUCUCAAAGUGACCUGCAGUGAUUGAGCCACAGCGAGUUAAGACCGACUGUAGGACUCAGUCAACAGAACCGUGAAGCUGCACCACCACUGCUGCACAAGGAGCGGUUCACCUGAUUAUUAAAAGCGCCUCUCCCUCCACAGUUUGAGAUGUUUGUACCUGUCCUCCAUGAGAGGAUCCUUUCACAGCAAGCCGGUGCUUCCCUCCCAACGUGCACCCAACCCAAACCCAGAUAACUCAAAGCGAGGCCCUGUAAUCAAAGUCCCCGCUGUGUUUAUGGCCCAGUGAAUCAGGGGCAUGGACAGAUUUACCCAUGGGCCUCCGAAGACCUGUUCCCAGCAUCUCGCUGACAAGAACAGACACAACCCCCUGCUAAUCACAGCUGAGGCAGGCAUCAGUGAUGGAUGGCUUCUGCCAACAGCGGCACCUCACCUAACCCGAUGCAGCGCUGGCAUAUUCUCUCCCGAUUUUUACCAAUAAUCAAGCUAAUAUUGAGACUGGAGAGCAGAACACAGGGGGAAGUUUAGCAGCUACUUGGUAUUUGAAGCCGUGGCAUCCUCAAGCAGCAGAGCAGCAGACUUCUUGCCACCUGUUAUGAGAGCAGUCCCACAUGGUGCGUUUUGGCCGGUUAAUGUUCACACUCGUCACUGGUGAGACUCUCUGCUCAGAAGUAGUGGACACUAACACACACUUCUGCUGAUCGAUGCUCAUUCUGUGCGUCACACGAGGGAGUUGGAAGCACUUUCCUUGCUCUUCACUCUUUUUUACCAUCUUCUCCUUUUUCCUGCUCCUCUCCCUUUAUCUCAGCCUUUAGUCUCGACGGGUUCUUCCCAUUAGCCCCUCUGCCUGACUACCACUCUGCAGGAGUCUCCUUUUAAAUCAGACCGUGGGGUGAAUAUAGCCUGAGGCCUUGAGGGACCGCAUCCUCGCCAUAUCCAUCUUCCACCUGGAAACUGGGAAUCAAAUGUCCUUGGAAGAAACUCAUUACUGUAGUAUUCCUCUGUGGCACUAAAUUGUGAUUGGAAGGAUACUGAAUUUCUUAUCAAGUUUUCAGCAGAGCAAAGAGGCAUGGAGAGAUGCAUACCAUGUCUCCUAGAUUAAUCUGGGCUCGGCUGAUUCCGGCAAGUGACAGAGGCGGGCGUCAAACUGCUGCUGCACAGAGGAGAUGAUAAACACAGGAUGCAACGCACAGAGACUCUCACCGACCCACAAUAUGGCAAUGUUUACACUUGCUGCAAGCCAUUUACUGGAGCUCCUGUCUUGCAUAAUCAGUGUUUAAUUCAAUCCUCUGUAGUGUGUAUCACCUGAUAAAAUUAGGAUCCAAACAAGCAGAACAAACUGCGGGAAUUUGCUGCUAUCGUGAAAUGACUGCCAAUGAAUAUCCAAAGUGAGCGAUAGAUUUUUUUAAUGUAGACAGAAGUUUACCAUUUUAGGGCAAUUAUAAAUGGCGUGAGUCAGUCUCAAGUUUAACCAACUUUAUAUGAAACAUGAGAACUUGAACAUACAGUGUGAUAAGAACUGGCUGGAAUGACAGAAACCAUCCUUGAGAAAAAUGUAUUAGAUGUGUUCUAGGUCUUUGCUGAAUCCACUAACAUGGAGGAGGUGGAAUUUAAAAAAGUGAGGUAAAUUUAUUUACUAUACUUCAGCCAACCACCAGGGGGAGAUCGAGAUUCUUUGACUUCAGCUCAUUCAAGCAUGCAACAAUGUGAUAUUUGUCUACAGACAAACAUACAGUUCAAAACUAUAAAAAAAACUAUGGAUAUGAAUGGAGCUGUUGUUUAUAUCGUCACAGCUGUAUUUGCAGAGAAAUUCUAAGAUAAUGUCUUUCUUUCGAGCAAUGUUCUUAAAAAUGUAUUAUCAGUUAUUUAGUUUUGGUUUUUAAUUAUUAAAUAACAAAAAAAAUGUAUCUUCUCUCAAUCUAUUCUGAAAUGGAAGUGUUAAAUAGGCUUAGAUUUGGAUGAAGUGACAUAUUGUUUGCAAUUGGAUUGUAAAUAUCACAACCAGUUAGAAUAGAGUUGAACUUAAACGGAAACGGCUGCAAGGCAUCAUUGUCAACAAGGAGAAUAAUCUGUCAAUAACUGAAAAUAAUUUACAGCUAAGUAUUGCAAUUCCAAACAAUAAAAGGAUUUGCUUCUGUCCAUGACAAACUAUUUGUAAUGUGGCGGCCGGCUCCCUAAUUGGACCCAGCGGCUAAUCGAUGUGAUUUCUGACCAAUUGCCAAUGAGUCACCAUACAACAACAGUACUGACCAUCAUAAAUUUACAGGAGUAUCAAUACACAGAGCUCAAAUGAUAUAUUUACUGUACGUCCGUGCGCAUCAAUUUGAACUCUGUUGAUACAGUGUAUUGAUCUGCUGAGGCCCUGAGGGAUAUUAAAAGCCUCUUUCAGGUA